UUCUCAAAAAAUGUUGGUGAAAUGUUAUUCCAUUAGGGUUGGGUUCUGGUAAAGGGAGAAUACAUUUUAGAGCCCGGGACCAUAACCCCAUGCUGUAAAUACUGCUAGUGACUUGAGCGUGGCCUCCUUGGUGUCUUAGUGAAAGUGUCUCUCUUUCUUCCCUUGUACCUCAGGUGCAAAGUCCACUGUCAACAUGUCUGACACAGAGGAAGUCGAAGGUAAGUAACAUUAUUACUUUAUUAUUGCUAGGUAUCAUUAUUGUCUCUUGUCAUUAUCAUAGUCAUUUUAAAUCAGUAAUUGUUCAAUCGUAUGCUGAAUCAUUCUGUAUGUUUUUGAAACAACAUCUAACUGAUUUCAGUCCUCUAUGCAGAAUAGUUCAAUGCAAUGGACAAACUUGGCUUCCCUCCUUGGAGUUCAAGUUGUGUUCAAUACUGCCCUCUACAGCACAACAGCAUGUAUUGACUUUGUUUAUGAUACUGUGAAUUUGGAGAAAGCCAUGAUUUAGGGAUCUUUUCAAUCUAUAAAGCUGAACUUCCAGUUUCAGGAAUGUUUCAGAAGCCAAUGUUGAUAACAGGCCAUGCGGUAAAUUAAUCCUAUGCAUCAAAAAUUAGAAUGAAUUAAAGCAUACCUUUAAAUUAUUUUCUAAAUGUCAGACCACAUACAUCUAUUAGUCUGUUAGCAACAGGUCCCUGCAACUCUGUAGACCUUUCCCAGUAAUACUGUCCUCCUAGUUUGUACAUAUUCUGUCUGAAUACAAAUACAUAACGUGUCUCCUCAUUAUGAAGGUAGAUGAUUCAAGCCUAUUAUACUACCAGGCCAUGAAAUGUUUUGUCUGCUCAAAAGUCUGUGAACUUGGUACCAUUUGAUUAGCUAUGGAGGACUGUAUUGUGUACGCAUACAACGGAUCCCUACUGUACCCAUAUUUACAGUAUAUUAUAUAUACUAAAUAUUAUAAACUGAUAUAUUGGGUACAGCCGGGUUCUUUUGGUAACACUAUUGUUUUACUGCUUUCUUUCUCCGAAAAAAACAAAACUCUCCAUGGAGGCGAGGGAGAAGGUAAAAAAACAAUGAUGCUCAGACUACGAAGACGGUCAUGUCAUCUAUACUAAUUUGUCAUUGUUUCGCUCUUGAUCUUCAGUGUGUUUGAGAAUGUGCGUUCAACUCAUUGGAUCUUCAUGUAGCUCGUAGCAUGUUGGAUAACGCUAAUGCUACCUCACUUCAUCAGAAUAAUGCUACCUCCUCAUUCAAACGCCUUACUUCAUCAGACUAAUGCUACCUCC